AUUGUGGCGCUGUCAGUAGUGUUGGUUGUCGGGUCUUGGUGCUUCAUCAUGCUCCGUGUUUGACAGGAUCCGGAAAUAGCCAGGAGGAGGAGGGGAUGGCUUGGAGGUGGGCGGUGUUCGGCGCGGACAGGGCACACGCUAAUGUAUCGUUCGCGCUUUUGUCCGGAGUGUUAACAGAUUAGUUGUUUACAUGCCACAAGUAAAUGAGUUUUCCAAAAGUGUAGCCGCGGGCUUCAAACGUACCGCCACCCCGUGAGACAGCCCACCACCCCCCGGCCACCCUAACCAAUACAACCAAUGUAAAAUCUCAUGCACACAUACUUACACACAUACACAUACAUAUAUGCAUGUACAUCGUGAAAACACAAGCACACGAACAUCGCCAUUGCUACCUCGCUCUCGCUCUACCUCUUGUCUCUUUCCCUCCCCAACCCAAUCCCCUACCAAACUAACCCCCUCCCCCCUCUCAACCAACCUUGUUAAAUCUGAACGAUGACUUUUUGAGUAGUUGGUUGAACAUUUUGGACAAUUGCAUUACGUGAACGACAAACGCUGCGCGUAUGGAUGUGAAUGGAUACAGGUUCGCACCAAGAUACAGCCUGGCAGAUGCUGGAUGAUAGCGCACGCUCCGCUACAGCUCCAGCACCAGCUCCCACAUGGCCACAUUAUGUGCUGCCACGGCCGAUGUCCUCUGAAUACGCUCAUUAUAGUAUCGAUCACCUUUCAUGCGCCACAAUUGAGGAUGGAGUAAGAGAUACAAUCGCAUCAUGGCCAAGCCGCUGCAGAUACAUGCUGAAAUGCAAAUGUAAUACCGAAAGGGCCGCGGGGCACACAUUUUGAGCAGCGAUAUAAGUUCAAAACAUGGGAGUAGAAAAAUUACAGCUGUUAAGGACGUAAAAGGAAUAUAUAGGAAUAUAGGUAGAUAUUUUAAAGAUAUGUAUUUUAAAGCCACU
ensembl:ncRNA lncRNA:CR43724 long non-coding RNA:CR43724